CAGCCGCCGCGGUAAUACGAAGGGGGCUAGCGUUGUUCGGAAUUACUGGGCGUAAAGGGCGCGUAGGCGGCCAUUCAAGUUAGAUGUGAAAGCCCUGGGCUCAACCUAGGAAUUGCAUUUGAUACUGUUUGGCUUGAGUUCGGGAGAGGUGAGUGGAAUUCCCAGUGUAGAGGUGAAAUUCGUAGAUAUUGGGAAGAACACCAGUGGCGAAGGCGGCUCACUGGACCGACACUGACGCUGAGGCGCGAAAGCGUGGGGAGCAAACAGGAUUAGAGACCCCCGUAGUCCCUGUCUCUUAUAC
rnacentral:rRNA from 1 species